rnacentral:sRNA from 1 species
CCUUGCACGACCUGGCGGCAGACGCGUCGUCUUCUUCCAGGUGCGCUGCCUCCGCCCCUCUGUCGCCCCUCCUCCCCUCCCGGUGCGCCUCCUCCACCAUCCCCCCUUCCCUUCUAGUGCGUCGCUUCCCCCGCUCCCCCUCUCCUCCACGCUGUGCUUCCUUCCCUCCUCCAGUCUGUACGAUCUUCUCUCCCAUCGUUGAUAGUCAGCAAGUCAUGGUGGAAUCGACGCGACCUGAAGGUGUUUAUCCUGCAUCUUAGCCCUUGCCCCGGUAUAGAUUUGUCGCCGCCUCAAGUUGCCGGCAUUGAUGCAUUACCGUUGUGGCCUGACAGCCCUGUGCUGCACUGGGUUAUUGUUCCUCUGUCGUCAGCGUCCAGAACACCAUCGGCGUCCAAGUAGCUAGGCUGCCUAAUUUCCUCCGGUUCAAUUUAUCUUUCACUAAUUGGCUCAUGUGUCAUUGUCUUGCUGUCUUGGGGUAAGGAGAAGAAUAAAUUAUUGGGGUGACACCAGUAAAAUUAAUCUCUUUAUUAACAGAUGCCUUCUAGAUGCUUGGUAAAUUCUUAGAAGCAAAUCUAAAUUUAUUCUCAAAAUACAUUGUUCCUGCAACUUUGUUAAUUAUCAUGUACUAUUUUUUUUUAAGUUAACUUCUGCUUAGAUAACUUCUCACUAAAAAUGACAAAAUAUUGAAGAUGACACAUAUAUGUCAUUUAUCAUAGAUGUACAGGUUAAAGAUUUGCACAUGGACCCUAGCUUCAUAAUGAAAUCCUGAUGUGCAUGGGUACAUGUACAUGCCAAUUGUUUAUGGAAUCUUAACAAAUUUGGUCU